UAGCACAGUGGUUAGUGCAGUCUGCCGGAAACAGAAAGACGCGGGUUCAAUUCCCNU
rnacentral:tRNA from 1 species